ACUCAACGUUAUUACAUUUAAAAAGGGUGAGUUUAAGUUGUGAAAGCGGGCCCUACUCGUAUAGGGAUUAUUGAGCAGCUUGUUAGCCCUAAACCUGUUAUUUAGGAGUUU
rnacentral:sRNA from 1 species